UGCCAGCAGCCGCGGUAACACGGGGGGCGCAAGCGUUAUUCGGAAUUACUGGGCGUAAAGCGCACGUAGGCGGUUUGGUAAGUUGGAAGUGAAAUCCCGGGGCUCAACCCCGGAACUGCUUUCAAAACUGCUAAACUAGAGUAUGGUAGGGGAUAGUGGAAUUCCUAGUGUAGAGGUGAAAUUCGUAGAUAUUAGGAGGAACACCAGUGGCGAAGGCGGCUUUCUGGACCGAUACUGACGCUGAGGUGCGAAGGCGUGGGGAGCGAACAGGAUUAGAUA
rnacentral:rRNA from 1 species